CAGUCGCCGCGGUAAUACGUAGGGUGCGAGCGUUAAUCGGAUUUACUGGGCGUAAAGCGUGCGCAGGCGGCCCGUUAAGACAGGUGUGAAAUCCCUGGGCUCAACCUAGGAAUUGCGCUUGUGACUGGCGGGCUCGAGUACGGUAGAGGGGGGUGGAAUUCCUGGUGUAGCAGUGAAAUGCGUAGAGAUCAGGAGGAACACCGAUGGCGAAGGCAGCCCCCUGGGCCUGUACUGACGCUCAUGCACGAAAGCGUGGGGAGCAAACAGGAUUAGAUACCCCUGUAGUCCCUGUCUCUUAUAC
rnacentral:rRNA from 1 species